UUUUAAUUUUUUUUCCUCCCCCGCCAGAUAUUUGCAAUGUUGCCUGUCAUAAAAUCAACAUACAUUCCCUACAAAGUUGAGGAUCAAGUGGAUUGUUUACAAGUCAGACCAAAAAGGUCUAUUCUGCCAUACCCUGGGCGUGAUAUUGAUGAUCCUUUCACAGUUUUCCAGAAUAACGGGUUGAAGAUGGCAACAAAUUUGAAUGUCAGAGUGCCCACUUGCCUCAAAUAUAUGG